GGCACUGUGGCAUAGCAGGUAAAGCUGCCACCUGCAGUGCUGGCAUCCCAUAUGGGUACUGGUUCAAGUCCUGUUAGCGCCA
rnacentral:tRNA from 1 species